rnacentral:rRNA from 1 species
GGGUUGUGAGGUUAAGCGACUAAGCGUACACGGUGGAUGCCCUGGCAGUCAGAGGCGAUGAAGGACGUGCUAAUCUGCGAUAAGCGUCGGUGAGGUGAUAUGAACCGUUAUAACCGGCGAUUUCCGAAUGGGGAAACCCAGUGUGUUUCGACACACUAUCAUUAACUGAAUCCAUAGGUUAAUGAGGCGAACCGGGGGAACUGAAACAUCUAAGUACCCCGAGGAAAAGAAAUCAACCGAGAUUCCCCCAGUAGCGGCGAGCGAACGGGGAGCAGCCCAGAGCCUGAAUCAGUGUGUGUGUUAGUGGAAGCGUCUGGAAAGGCGCGCGAUACAGGGUGACAGCCCCGUACACAAAAAUGCACAUGCUGUGAGCUCGAUGAGUAGGGCGGGACACGUGGUAUCCUGUCUGAAUAUGGGGGGACCAUCCUCCAAGGCUAAAUACUCCUGACUGACCGAUAGUGAACCAGUACCGUGAGGGAAAGGCGAAAAGAACCCCGGCGAGGGGAGUGAAAAAGAACCUGAAACCGUGUACGUACAAGCAGUGGGAGCCUCUUUAUGGGGUGACUGCGUACCUUUUGUAUAAUGGGUCAGCGACUUAUAUUCUGUAGCAAGGUUAACCGAAUAGGGGAGCCGAAGGGAAACCGAGUCUUAACUGGGCGUUAAGUUGCAGGGUAUAGACCCGAAACCCGGUGAUCUAGCCAUGGGCAGGUUGAAGGUUGGGUAACACUAACUGGAGGACCGAACCGACUAAUGUUGAAAAAUUAGCGGAUGACUUGUGGCUGGGGGUGAAAGGCCAAUCAAACCGGGAGAUAGCUGGUUCUCCCCGAAAGCUAUUUAGGUAGCGCCUCGUGAAUUCAUCUCCGGGGGUAGAGCACUGUUUCGGCAAGGGGGUCAUCCCGACUUACCAACCCGAUGCAAACUGCGAAUACCGGAGAAUGUUAUCACGGGAGACACACGGCGGGUGCUAACGUCCGUCGUGAAGAGGGAAACAACCCAGACCGCCAGCUAAGGUCCCAAAGUCAUGGUUAAGUGGGAAACGAUGUGGGAAGGCCCAGACAGCCAGGAUGUUGGCUUAGAAGCAGCCAUCAUUUAAAGAAAGCGUAAUAGCUCACUGGUCGAGUCGGCCUGCGCGGAAGAUGUAACGGGGCUAAACCAUGCACCGAAGCUGCGGCAGCGACGCUUAUGCGUUGUUGGGUAGGGGAGCGUUCUGUAAGCCUGCGAAGGUGUGCUGUGAGGUAUGCUGGAGGUAUCAGAAGUGCGAAUGCUGACAUAAGUAACGAUAAAGCGGGUGAAAAGCCCGCUCGCCGGAAGACCAAGGGUUCCUGUCCAACGUUAAUCGGGGCAGGGUGAGUCGACCCCUAAGGCGAGGCCGAAAGGCGUAGUCGAUGGGAAACAGGUUAAUAUUCCUGUACUUGGUGUUACUGCGAAGGGGGGACGGAGAAGGCUAUGUUGGCCGGGCGACGGUUGUCCCGGUUUAAGCGUGUAGGCUGAUUUUCCAGGCAAAUCCGGAAAAUCAAGGCUGAGGCGUGAUGACGAGGCACUACGGUGCUGAAGCAACAAAUGCCCUGCUUCCAGGAAAAGCCUCUAAGCAUCAGGUAACAUCAAAUCGUACCCCAAACCGACACAGGUGGUCAGGUAGAGAAUACCAAGGCGCUUGAGAGAACUCGGGUGAAGGAACUAGGCAAAAUGGUGCCGUAACUUCGGGAGAAGGCACGCUGAUAUGUAGGUGAAGCGACUUGCUCGUGGAGCUGAAAUCAGUCGAAGAUACCAGCUGGCUGCAACUGUUUAUUAAAAACACAGCACUGUGCAAACACGAAAGUGGACGUAUACGGUGUGACGCCUGCCCGGUGCCGGAAGGUUAAUUGAUGGGGUUAGCGGUAACGCGAAGCUCUUGAUCGAAGCCCCGGUAAACGGCGGCCGUAACUAUAACGGUCCUAAGGUAGCGAAAUUCCUUGUCGGGUAAGUUCCGACCUGCACGAAUGGCGUAAUGAUGGCCAGGCUGUCUCCACCCGAGACUCAGUGAAAUUGAACUCGCUGUGAAGAUGCAGUGUACCCGNUAUACGGUGUGACGCCUGCCCGGUGCCGGAAGGUUAAUUGAUGGGGUUAGCGGUAACGCGAAGCUCUUGAUCGAAGCCCCGGUAAACGGCGGCCGUAACUAUAACGGUCCUAAGGUAGCGAAAUUCCUUGUCGGGUAAGUUCCGACCUGCACGAAUGGCGUAAUGAUGGCCAGGCUGUCUCCACCCGAGACUCAGUGAAAUUGAACUCGCUGUGAAGAUGCAGUGUACCCGCGGCAAGACGGAAAGACCCCGUGAACCUUUACUAUAGCUUGACACUGAACAUUGAGCCUUGAUGUGUAGGAUAGGUGGGAGGCUUUGAAGUGUGGACGCCAGUCUGCAUGGAGCCGGCCUUGAAAUACCACCCUUUAAUGUUUGAUGUUCUAACGUUGGCCCCUGAUCGGGGUUGCGGACAGUGUCUGGUGGGUAGUUUGACUGGGGCGGUCUCCUCCUAAAGAGUAACGGAGGAGCACGAAGGUUGGCUAAUCCUGGUCGGACAUCAGGAGGUUAGUGCAAUGGCAUAAGCCAGCUUGACUGCGAGCGUGACGGCGCGAGCAGGUGCGAAAGCAGGUCAUAGUGAUCCGGUGGUUCUGAAUGGAAGGGCCAUCGCUCAACGGAUAAAAGGUACUCCGGGGAUAACAGGCUGAUACCGCCCAAGAGUUCAUAUCGACGGCGGUGUUUGGCACCUCGAUGUCGGCUCAUCACAUCCUGGGGCUGAAGUAGGUCCCAAGGGUAUGGCUGUUCGCCAUUUAAAGUGGUACGCGAGCUGGGUUUAGAACGUCGUGAGACAGUUCGGUCCCUAUCUGCCGUGGGCGCUGGAGAACUGAGGGGGGCUGCUCCUAGUACGAGAGGACCGGAGUGGACGCAUCACUGGUGUUCGGGUUGUCAUGCCAAUGGCACUGCCCGGUAGCUAAAUGCGGAAGAGAUAAGUGCUGAAAGCAUCUAAGCACGAAACUUGCCCCGAGAUGAGUUCUCCCUGAGACUUAGAGUCUCCUGAAGGAACGUUGAAGACGACGACGUUGAUAGGCCGGGUGUGUAAGCGCAGCGAUGCGUUGAGCUAACCGGUACUAAUGAACCGUGAGGCUUAACCUUACAACGCCGAAG